rnacentral:hammerhead_ribozyme from 1 species
AUCCAGCUGACGAGUCCCAAAUAGAAGGAAACGCGCGUUUUGGAU